rnacentral:rRNA from 1 species
AGAAUCAACGCUGGCGGCGUGCCUCAGACAUGCAAGUCGAACGCGAAAGUUUCCUUCGGGAAACAAGUAGAGUGGCGCACGGGUGAGUAACACGUAGGUAAUCUACCUUCGGAUGGGGAAUAACAAUCGGAAACGGUUGCUAAUACCGCAUAAUGCAGCGGCACCUAAUGGUGACAGUUGUUAAAGCGGGGGAUCGAAAGACCUCGCGUCUGAAGAGGAGCCUGCGGCGGAUUAGCUAGUUGGUAAGGUAAUGGCUUACCAAGGCUACGAUCC